GCCCCAGAUCCUGUUGCAGCACCUACAGAAAAAAUAGAGAAAUUUAUUCAGACAGCAAGCACAGAAAAGUGAAAUUACAAAUAAAUAGCAACAUUGUUACAAUUUGGAGUGGAAGACAACUGCCACUCGCUAAAAUAAAUCUAUUUGUUUAUAGUAUCUUUAUAAUACUUGGAAUAGAUUAUGAAUGUCAACAAGUUGAAAAAAUCUCUCAUCACAAUAGCCUAGUGAUGUAAAACCAACAGAACAAAGGGGAAGGGAAACAAAUUCUUGAUAUUAUUAAUUCUUAAAUCAAUUGUCAAUCAUAGAAAAGAU
rnacentral:misc_RNA from 1 species